rnacentral:rRNA from 1 species
UACGGGGGGGGCAAGCGUUGUUCGGAAUUACUGGGCGUAAAGGGCUCGUAGGCGGCCAACUAAGUCGGAUGUGAAAUCCCCAAGCUUAACUUGGGAACUGCAUCCGAUACUGGAUGGCUUGAAUCCGGGAGAGGGAUGCAGAAUUCCGGGUGUAGCGGUGAAAUGCGUAGAUAUCUGGAGGAAUACCGGUGGCGAAGGCGGCAUCCUGGACCGGCAUUGACGCUGAGGAGCGAAAGCUAGGGGAGCAAACGGG